UACGUAGGGGGCAAGCGUUGUUCGGAAUUACUGGGCGUAAAGGGCGCGUAGGCGGUCAGCACAAGUCAGUUGUGAAAUCUCCGGGCUUAACUCGGAAAGGUCAACUGAUACUGUGCGACUAGAGUGCAGAAGGGGCAACUGGAAUUCUCGGUGUAGCGGUGAAAUGCGUAGAUAUCGAGAGGAACACCUGCGGCGAAGGCGGCUCUCUGGGACGGUACUGACGCUGAGACGCGAAAGCGUGGGGAGCGAACAGG
rnacentral:rRNA from 1 species